AUCACUUUGCUCUCUGUUGCGGAGGUCAAUUGGCUAAAUGAGUACCAUUCACAAGUCUGGGAAAAGGUUUCUCCAUUGCUUGAAGGUUCGGCUCGGCAAUGGCUGUGGAACAACACUCGGCCACUCUCUAAAUCCUGAUUUUUUUGGUUUUAUUCUUUAGGUUCUUUAAUAUAAUGUUGUGAUUUGUGCCCAUUGAAUCAAAUAUAGAUGAAUAGCGAAG
rnacentral:misc_RNA from 1 species